rnacentral:rRNA from 1 species
AUGGCUGGCGGCGAUCAUCAAAGUGAUGAUGACGAUUUCAUGGAUCCACCUCAACGUAACCGGGCAACUGGACGGAGAAAAGAGGGCGAUGAGAAGAAGAAACGUAUUUGCAACAGAGCCUCCCAGGAACGUCUGACCGUGUUGAUUGAGAAAUUCACUGACGAUCAAAAGGGAGCUGCUGCUGAGAUGGGUAUGCAGGUUCUGAUGGAUGUCCGGUGCACGAACCUUGUCAACCCGGUAUGCGACUGGCUUGGUGAGAUAUACGAUUCCGCCUCCAGGGAAUUCGUGAUCUCGGGACGGGGAAGACUCCCACUGAAUGAGGAAUCCGUGUUCUGCACUUUGGGUGUGCCUCGGGGACAUAUCAAAGUCCCGUACGAGGUUAAUAAUGAGAUCGAGGAAGAGCUGUUCGCCCGUUUGUUUCCUGGGUUGGAGGCAAUGCCGAACACGUCUGUACUGGCAGAUUCUCUGCAGGCCAUGACGACGCACGGAUAA